GCAGUUAUAGAAUCAGAAACUCGCUGAGGCUUCUGGGAAUCUACUGAAGAUUGAGUCCCACCCCUGCCUGUCUCGGAGGUCUCUCGCGGUAGUGGAUCCUUCGCGCGGGUCCUUGCUGGGGAAUGUACGUUACAGAAAUAGGUUUGUAGGUGCAGCCCAUGAGAAUGUUCCAGUGAAAUGCUACAUUCAAAGAAGUGCUGUCCACCCCAGAAGAUCCCAGAGGAUGCAAUUCUGGCUGUGCUGGGAAGUGCUAAAGUUCCCUCCAUAUGUCACUCCGGAGAAGGAGCAGCAAAGCAGCCAUGUUGAGUUCCUCUCUCAACCUUGGGCAUCAUGGACGAUGAGAUGGAGUCUUUUAUGUUGCCCAGACCGAACUCAAACUCCUGUGCUCAGGUGAUCUUCCCACAUCGGCCACUCGAAGUAUCGGGAUUACAGGCAUGAACCACUGCACUCAGCCUUAUUUGGCGUCUUUUAAAAUAAAUAUUCUGAGAAUCAUGUAAAGAUACUUCACUGAUUCCAUAUGUGGCUAGCUGAUUCUUUGGAUAUGGGUGGGUCCUUAAUCACAACAGUAAUUCUAAAUCAAAAUACUUUGUUGGAUUUCUUGGCUUGUUUCAUGAGGACAGCUAAUUAAAAUGUUGUUUAUACACUAAGUUGGUAAGCUCAACUGUGCUAGACAGAACUGAAACCAGAGAGGGCAAGAUCUUGUCUAACUUAGUGCAAUCUCCUCAUUUAUAACCUAAGAGAGCAAGGCACAAGGAAGAGAGCACCCCAUAUCCUUGAAGUCAUUGAAUUCUUUCUCUAAAUCCUAGUUCUGCAAUUUACUAGCAAGUCAAGCAAGUUACUUAACCAUUCUGAGUCUCCACUUUCUCACUGAUAAAAUGGGGAUGUUACCAUAUCUUGCAUGUUUAUUGCAAGAAUUAAAUAAGAUAAUAUACAUCAAACACCACAAUCAGCAUAGGCAUUUACUGUUUUUUUUUUGUUGUUGUUGUUUUUUUUGGAGACAGUGUUGCUCUGUUGCCAGGUGCCAGGCUGGAGUGCAGUGGCACGAUCUCAAUUCACUGCAACCUCUGCCUCCUGGGUUCAAGCAAUUCUCCUGCCUCAGCCUCCCAAAUAGCUGGGACUACAGGCAUGCACCACCACGCCCAGCUAAUUUUUGUAUUUUUAGUAGAGACGGGGUUUCACCAUGUUGGCCAGGAUGGUCUUGAUCUCCUGACCUCGUGAUCCGCCUGCCUCGGCUUCUCAAAGUUCUGGGAUUACAGACGUGAGCCACUGAACCUAGCCGGCAUUUACUAUUUUAAUUUUUUCGAGAUGGAAUUUUGCUCUUGUCGCCCAUUGGAGUGCAAUGGUAAAAUCUUGGCUCACUGUAACCUCCCCAUCCCUGGUUUAAGUGAUUCUCCUGCCUCAGCCUCCCGAGUAGCUGGGAUUACAGGCGCCUGCGACCAUGCCAAGCUAAUUUUUGUAUUUUUGUUUUGUUUUGUUUUUGAGAUGAAGUCUCACUCUGUCAUCCAGACUGGAGUGCAGUGGUACAAUGUCGGCUCACUGCAACCUCUGCCCCCUGGGUUCAAGUGAUUCUCCUGCCUCCUCCUCCCAAGUGGCUGGGAUUAAAGGUGUGUGCCACCACACCUGGCUAAUUUUUGUAUUUUUGGUAGAGCGGGGUUUCACCAUGUUGGUCAGGCUGGUCUUGAACUCCUAAACUUGUGAUUCACCCACCUCGGCCUCCCAAAGUGCUGGGAUUAUUAGGCAUGAGCCAUCGCACCUGGCCUAGGCAUUUACUAUUGCUUCUUAUUUCAUCCCUUUAAAUGUAAUCUUGCAAUCAACAUUGUUUUCCUUUUUACUGACGUCCUUAGAGUCCUUCACAUCUGAACAAUGUUUUUUUGGAAAACUCUACCUAGCGCAUAGAUGAUCGGGUCUUUUGGGUCUUACCGUGUAAAAUGUUUGCUUUCUUCAUGAACCUCCAUCUCGGAGCUUUUAAAUUCAUUUAAUUCUUUUCUUAUGGCAGCCUGUGGAGUAGAAACAAAAAUGUUUCAGUUUCUUCUGCCUGCUUUGUACAGCAGUGUAACUUGCCAUUUUUCUCUACUGUGUUUAACUGUGAUACCAUUUGUCUCAUAAUAAACCUAAAAUUUUGAGUUUAGUCAAAAUACUUGAAAAUCUGAAAGAGAUAUUAUAGUUUCAUAGUUUUUUUUUUUUGUUUUUGUUUUUUAAAGACAGAGUCUUGCUGUGUCAUCCAGGCUGAAGUGCAGUGGUACUUCAACGAGCAAUCUCAGUUCAUUGCAACCUCCACCUCCUGGGUUCAAACAAUUCUCUUACCUCAGCCUCCUGAGUAACUGGGAUUACAGGUGCAUGUCACCAUGCUCGGUUAAUUUUUGUAUUUUCAGUAGAGAUGGGGUUUCACCAUGUUGGCCAAGCUGAUCUGGAACUCUUGACCCCAAGAGACCCACCCACUUUGGCCUCUCAAAGUGCAGGGAUUACAAGCGUGAGCCACUGUACCUGGCCAGUUUUGUUUUGUUUUUUUUUUUUUGAGAUGGAGACUCACUGUGUUGCACAGGUUGGAGUGUAGUCAUGUGAUCUCCACUCACUGCAACCUCUGCCUCCAGGGUUCAAGCAAUUCUCUGCCUCAGCCUCCUGAGUAGCUAGAAUUACAGGGACCUGCCACCAUGCCCAGCUAAUUUUUUUGUAUUUUUAAUAUUUUUUUGUAUUUUUGUAUUUUUAGUAUUUCACCAUCUUGGCCAGGCUAGUCUUGAACUCCUGAUCUCAUGAUCCACCCACCUUGGCCUCCCAAAGUGCUGAGAUUACAGGCAUGAGCCACUGUGUCCACCCCUAAUUUUUUAUUUUUUUUUGAGAUGGAGUCUGGCUUUCUGCCCAGGCUGGAGUGCAAUGGUAUGAUCUUGGCUCACUGCAACCUCCACCUCCUGGGUUCAAGCAAUUUUCCUGCUUUAGCCUCCUGUGUAGCUGGGAUUACAGGUGCAUGCCAUCACACCCAGCUAAUUUUUGUAUUUUUAGUAUAGACAGGGUUUCACCAUGUUGGCCAGGCUGGUCUUGAACUCCUUACCUCAAGUGAUCCCUCUGGCUUGGCCUCCCAAAGUGCUGGGAUUACAGGCAUAAGCAACCACGUCUGGCCAGCUUUUAUAGUUUUUCACAGCAUUAUAAAAAUGAAAUAUGGGUAAUUACUAAAAUAUGUAGCCCAAACUCCCUCUAACCAAACAACCACUGGUUAAAAUGUACUUAUUUCUUCCAGUAUUUUUGUUCUGUGAUACAGCAGGGAUUUUCUUUCUUUCAGUAUUGGUGGUGGAGUUACCAAAACAUUAUACUGAGUUAGUAUAACAUUCUGACUUGUACAACUUUUGUAUCUUGAUUUGAAAUUUAGUAUUAUAUUAAAACUAGAAGCUUUGUUUAUGGUU